rnacentral:rRNA from 1 species
UACGGAGGGUGCAAGCGUUAUCCGGAUUUACUGGGUGUAAAGGGAGCGUAGACGGUUGUAUAAGUCUGGAGUGAAAGCCCGGGGCCCAACCCCGGGACUGCUUUGGAAACUGUGUAACUUGAGUACAGGAGGGGCAGGCGGAAUUCCUGGUGUAGCGGUGAAAUGCGUAGAUAUCAGGAGGAACACCAGUGGCGGAGGCGGCUUACUGGACGGUAACUGACGCUGAGGCUCGAAAGCGUGGGGAGCAAACAGG